UGGGGGUAAGAGUGUGUUCGAGCCUGUCUAAGUMAGUCGCAGGGAGAGCUUGCUCCCUGGGUGACGAGCGGCUUUUUGGGAGAGUAAUGUCUGGGAAACUGCCUGAUGGAGGGGCCUAACUACUGGAAACGGUAGCUAAUACCGCAUAACGUCGCAAGACCAAAGAGGGGGACCUUCGGGCCUCUUGCCAUCAGAUGUGCCCAGAUGGGAUUAGCUAGUAGGUGGGGUAAUGGCUCACCUAGGCGACGAUCCCUAGCUGGUCUGAGAGGAUGACCAGCCACACUGGAACUGAGACACGGUCCAGACUCCUACGGGAGGCAGCAGUGGGGAAUAUUGCACAAUGGGCGCAAGCCUGAUGCAGCCAUGCCGCGUGUGUGAAGAAGGCCUUCGGGUUGUAAAGCACUUUCAGCGAGGAGGAAGGGGGUGAACUUAAUACGUUCAUCAAUUGACGUUACUCGCAGAAGAAGCACCGGCUAACUCCGUGCCAGCAGCCGCGGUAAUACGGAGGGUGCAAGCGUUAAUCGGAAUUACUGGGCGUAAAGUGCACGCAGGCGGUUUGUUAAGUCGUAUGUGAAAUCCCCGGGCUCAACCUGGGAACUGCAUUUGAAACUGUCAAGCUAGAGUCUCGUAAUAGGUGGGUAGAAUUCCAGGUGUAGCGGUUAAAUGCUUAGAGAUCUGGAGGAAUACUCUGUGGCKAAGGCGGCCUCCUGGGACGAAACACUGACUCUCAGGUGCGAUAGCGCGGGGGUGCAAUCAGGGAUUAAAUUCCUUGGUUAUUCCUUCCCUGUAAUACCAGGUCGAUUUGGUAUUGUUGGGGACUUUGAUGCAGUGGCUUUACCGGAGGCUAAGGCGUUAAGAUCAUAGCGGCCUGUGUGAAUAUCCGGUCUCAAUGCUUUUUAAAUUUCCAUAGUUCAUAUUAGUGCGGGGUCGUCGU
rnacentral:rRNA from 1 species